AUACGGAGGGUGCAAGCGUUACUCGGAAUCACUGGGCGUAAAGCGCGCGCAGGCGGCCUGAUAAGUUGGAUGUGAAAGCCUACGGCUCAACCGUAGAACUGCAUCCAAAACUGUCAGGCUAGAGUGUGGGAGAGGAAGAUGGAAUUAGUUGUGUAGGGGUAAAAUCCGUAGAGAUAACUAGGAAUACCAAAAGCGAAGGCAAUCUUCUGAAACACUACUGACGCUGAGGCGCGAAGGCGUGGGGAGCAAACAGGAUUAGAAACCCCGGUAGUCC
rnacentral:rRNA from 1 species